rnacentral:rRNA from 2 species
CAAUUAAACUCUAGUGGCGAACGGGUGAGUAACGCGUAAGCAAUCUGCCCCUAAGACGAGGAUAACAGUUGGAAACGACUGCUAAGACUGGAUAGGAGACAAGAAGGCAUCUUCUUGUUUUUAAAAGACCUAGCAAUAGGUAUGCUUAGGGAGGAGCUUGCGUCACAUUAGUUAGUUGGUGGGGCAAAGGCCUACCAAGACUAUGAUGUGUAGCCGGGCUGAGAGGUUGAACGGCCACAUUGGGACUGAGACACGGCCCAAACUCCUACGGGAGGCAGCAGUAGGAAAUUUUCGGCAAUGGAGGAAACUCUGACCGAGCAACGCCGCGUGAACGAUGAAGUAUUUCGGUACGUAAAGUUCUUUUAUUAGGGAAGAAUAAAUGAUGGAAAAAUCAUUCUGACGGUACCUAAUGAAUAAGCCCCGGCAAACUAUGUGCCAGCAGCCGCGGUAAUACAUAGGGGGCAAGCGUUAUCCGGAAUUAUUGGGCGUAAAGGGUGCGUAGGCGGUUAAAUAAGUUUAUGGUCUAAGUGCAAUGCUCAACAUUGUGAUGCUAUAAAAACUGUUUAGCUAGAGUAAGAUAGAGGCAAGUGGAAUUCCAUGUGUAGUGGUAAAAUGCGUAAAUAUAUGGAGGAACACCAGUAGCGAAAGCGGCUUGCUGGGUCUUUACUGACGCUGAGGCACGAAAGCGUGGGGAGCAAACAGGAUUAGAUACCCUGGUAGUCCACGCCGUAAACGAUGAGUACUAAGUGUCGGGGUAAAACUCGGUACUGAAGUUAACACAUUAAGUACUCCGCCUGAGUAGUACGUACGCAAGUAUGAAACUUAAAGGAAUUGACGGGACUCCGCACAAGCGGUGGAUCAUGUUGUUUAAUUCGAAGAUACACGAAAAAUCUUACCAGGUCUUGACAUACUCUGCAAAGCUAUAGAAAUAUAGUGGAGGUUAUCAGGGAUACAGGUGGUGCAUGGUUGUCGUCAGUUCGUGUCGUGAGAUGUUGGGUUAAGUCCCGCAACGAGCGCAACCCUUAUUGUUAGUUACCAGCACGUAAUGGUGGGGACUUUAGCAAGACUGCCAGUGAUAAAUUGGAGGAAGGUGGGGACGACGUCAAAUCAUCAUGCCCCUUAUGACCUGGGCUACAAACGUGAUACAAUGGCUGUUACAAAGGGUAGCUGAAGCGCAAGUUUUUGGCGAAUCUCAAAAAAACAGUCUCAGUUCGGAUUGAAGUCUGCAACUCGACUUCAUGAAGUUGGAAUCGCUAGUAAUCGCGAAUCAGCAUGUCGCGGUGAAUACGUUCUCGGGGUUUGUACACACCGCCCGUCAAACCACGAAAGUUGGUAAUACCCAAAGCCGGUGGCCUAACUUCGCAAGAAGAGGGAACCGUCUAAGGUAGGGUCGAUGAUUGGGGUUAAG